rnacentral:lncRNA from 1 species
AACCAAGCAGCCGCUGCAACAUACUACAAUUACUUUGCACUAGCAAACACAAUGCUCUGACUGAGCUCUCAUAGCGUUCGCACCUGCCCAUCUUAACUAGUUGAUCACCGCAGCAAUGGCCUCCACCAACAGCUGGACUCACAGGAUCGAGUCGUCGGUCGCGGCACCGCACCUGUUCCGCGCCGGCGUCAUGGACUGGCACACUCUGGCACCCAAGCUCGCACCCCACAUCGUCGCCAGCGCCCACCCCGUCGAGGGCGAAGGCGGCAUCGGCAGCGUCAGGCAGUUCAACUUCACCUCAGGUACAUACAUAUGCAUCACAUACAAUCCACGCAUGUCACCACAGUCAGGCGGCGGCAUAACACGUGAUUCUUUGCUCUUGCAGCCAUGCCCUUUACCCUCAUGAAGGAGAGGCCCGAGUUCCUGGACGAGAAGAAGUGCGAGUGCAAGUCGACCCUCAUCGAGGGCGGUGGCAUCGGCACGGCCAUCGAGACUGCGACGUCGCACAUCAAGGUGGAGCCGGCGGCCAACGGAGGGAGCUUCGUGAAGGUGAACUCGACGUACAAGCUGCUGCCAGGCGUGGAGGUGAAUGACGAAAUCACCAAGGCCAAGGAAUCCGUCACCGCCAUCUUUAAGGCAGCCGAGGCCUACCUCAUCGCCAACCCCGACGCCUACAACUGAAUCAGUUGAGAGGGAUUAUAUAUGAUUAUGAUGUCCCUAGUUUGAAUUUUGUGUGUUUUCUUCCCGAUGUAAUAAAGCUAUUCCAGUCUCUAAGCUGUAAUACUGCCGCCGAGCGUGAGAGCACCGAGCAGAGUGUGGCGGACGUGAGAAGUUAAAAAGUUAAGUAUUUGUAAUUAGCAAAGGGUUCUGUUGUUUGAUGAUAUUGAUGCUUGCUUAUGUGAAAUACCUAAACACUCUUAUAUACUGCGUCCGUUCUAUAAUUCUUGUCGUGGUUUUAGUUUUGACCUAAAAACACGACAAGAAUUGUGGAACGGAGCGAGUAUUUGGAUUUGAAAGUUUAUGUGUCAGACCUCUUCCACAAAUCUUAUAUGUAUGUGGAAUACCUAAACAUUCUCCAGGAAAAUAGAAAAACUAAAUACUCUUAUGCGCAAAAAAAUUUGUUUAUAUGCCGUCAAGGUCUAUUUAUAGGAAUCUAAGAAAUAAUUUUAUUUGCUACUCCCUUUGUUUCUAAAUAUAAGACUUUUUAGAUAUUUUAAUAUGAAAAACAUAAGUAGCAAAAUGAGUGAAUCUAAACUCUAAAAUACAUCUAUAUACAUCCGUACGUAGUCCAUAUUAAAAUAUCUAAAAAAAACUUAUAUUUAGAAGCGGAGGGAGUAGAAUAUAAUUUUGAUUUCUCUUUUCAAGUUGUAAGAGACAGUCGACAUGUCAUUGUGUUUUAUUUUGGCACCAUUUUUCGACUAGUGCAUCUAUAAUCUAUUGGGCCCUUGUUUUUUUUAACAUCAGUACAAACACAAGCGUUCAUGUAUACACGCAUACACUCACUCAUAUGAACGCACACACGCACACCCUACCCCUAUGAGCACAUCCAAAAGAUUGAGCCGGCAAAUCAUCUUGAAAUUUACGAAGUCACCAUAGGCACCUCGUCGUCGAGGGGAACGUCUCUAAAUGCGAGCACAAGGACUUGACCCUGGUGGGCUGGGGAUACCACAGUCCCUCUAACCAUCCAAGCAUAGGUUGGUUCGCCCUAUUGGGACCUUGUUAGCAAGUGAAAUCCAAUUUCUUCAUGUAUCCCCUUUUCAAAGCUAACUUACAUUUGUGUGUAAUGAAUAACAAAAAUGCAAAUUGUAUGAGGAGUCCUUAAACUAUCACAACCUUCUCGCUUGCCUUUUUUGUGAGACUCCCUAAUCUUUUAUCCAUUUCAUCCAUGACUCCUUUUAACCAUCAGACUAACAAAUUCCGUUAGGUCGAUGCUGACAUGGGAAACCGAGUUUGAGCCAUGGGCGUAACGGUGGGAAUAUCAUACGAGAAACUAAACAGNNNNNNNNNNNNNNNNNNNNNNNNNNNNNNNNNNNNNNNNNNNNNNNNNNNNNNNNNNNNNNNNNNNNNNNNNNNNNNNNNNNNNNNNNNNNNNNNNNNNNNNNNNNNNNNNNNNNNNNNNNNNNNNNNNNNNNNNNNNNNNNNNNNNNNNNNNNNNNNNNNNNNNNNNNNNNNNNNNNNNNNNNNNNNNNNNNNNNNNNNNNNNNNNNNNNNNNNNNNNNNNNNNNNNNNUCGAUGGAUUAGGAAGUAUUGUGCUAUGAGGAAUAUCUAAGUUUGCAACACUAAUGGAAAAUUAUUCUUUAUUUCUCUUCUACUGUCUACUAAAAUAGGCGGCUCAUUUCAUCGCCCCCCUAGGCUAGAGCCCCUCAUCCUAUUUGAUACCUUCCUCCCAACUGCCUAUCGAAUUUUGGUCAUUUUGCUCAUCGUUAUGAUGUUGGUUUCCAUUUUGAGGUUCCAAAAUAUAUUGGGAACCACUAAAAUUGCUACUUAUCUCACGAAGCUAGGAUAAAACUAAGGAUAAUCACACUCAUUCCUCCCCCCAAGAAAAGAAUCAGGGCAAUCGGGUUUCCUCCUCCUCCCGUCAGCGCCAUCGCCGGUUCGCCCCGUCUCUGAUGUCCUUUGGGCCGUGGAGGUGCGGAGGACCUCGACCCUCCGCCGGCGGGAGGGACCCCACUCUCGUUCUUGUUAGGUUCAUCCUCUUGGUCGGGGUUGUGGUGGUGAUGUCCCUCGGCAUGAAUCAUGUUGCUCACAUUCGAUCCCCGUCCCCAUGGUGCAUCCACCAUCGUUAGAGGGCGUUUGGAGGUGUGUCUUCACCAGAUCUCCCGGGAUUCAGUCGGUGCCGGUCUUUAGAAGAUCUAUUUUAAUCUAGUAUUUCUUUGGGUGUUUACGAGGUUUGAUUCUUUUGAUCUACGAUUCUCUUCAUCGGUGAUGGUUGCUACUCUAGUGUAGGGAUGGCACCCGCAUGGUUUGGGUAUGGGUGGAGCCACCCCAUACCUUACCCGUCAUCCCAAACCUUACCCAUCACCCGUACCCAUUCCCGUUGACGGGUAUAAUUUCCCCCCGUACCCGUCACCCAUCAGGGUAAAUGGGUACCCGCGGGUAAAAUUGCCCAGAUUUGUAACACAUCAAUUUGAACAUUACAUAGGCAUAAACAAGAACUUAUAACAAUAAUUUAUAAACAACAACACAUCAUGACAGCAACGUGUACUCGUUCCUGGGCUAGCUAUUGUGGUGCGGCGGCCUAACAUGAAUGCAUGAUGAGGUCUUUUUAGGACUGUGGGAUUUAUGUACAUAUAAUAUUUUUAAUAUGUGAAUAGAUACUAUAUAUAAGGCCUAUUUGUCAAAAUAUAUGCGGGUACAUGGGUACAUGGGUAUGGUUUAUACUAAACCAUACCUGUACCCACUAUACCCGAUGGGUAUGAAUAUUUUCUAUUUAUGUACCCGUGAGUAUUUUUUUGACCCAUACCCUUGCCCUAAUAGGGUUUUUACCCGCAGGGUAUGCGGGUAAUGGGUGCCCAUUGCCAUCCCUACUCUAGUGUGUUGGUCUUGUGGGGCUUUAGCACGAUGACUUCCUUACUGUCUACUAUAACAAGAUUUGCGAAACUCAAGUGAGGGAGGGGUGAUGAUGGUGGCAUGUCUUUGGCUUUCUCUAGUCCUUGUAGUUGUUGCUAGGUGGUAAUUUUCUUGUAAUUUUUGUGACCUCUGCUGUUCUGUUUACUGUCAUGAUUGAUUAUGAAUACAUCAAAAGUUUCUCCCGCAGAAAAUACACAAUUUAUCUUUUGGAUUUUUGCUUAUGCGAUUUCACAAUUCGGUGAAGGGACUUGAAUUCUCAUAAGGAUUUAGCUAAAUCCAACCGAAGUUUGAUGGAAAUAUGGAUGGGCAUGUAACUUUGGUGCAACCAUGCCCGUUAGGAUUCCAACGAAACUGGGUAUAAAUAAAAUACAACAGAACAUAGUGUCAAGAGUGGUCAAAAGAACAGCUGGUAUGUACUCAAAUAAUAACUCAUAAUAAAAAUUAGUUUUAAAAACUCAGAGUAAAACACGCCAGAAAUAGUUUACGUACAGACAUGUAGCCCACUGAAAAAGUGGCCGUUUCUUUUGUCACGUAACCACACCAACUAUGUCACCAAAACACCAACCAUGCCAUAUGCCAACCACACCUGUCACCAUUAUUUUCGUUCGGCAUUACAGUAUUUUACUCCCUGGAACACAUUCUUUGCACACCAGAAUCAAUAAACGUUGACGACGAGGGCCACGAGGGGUUUACAUCCAUCAUCCAUGCCAACCCUGCCUGCAUAAUUAAGUCUGAACUGCUGUCCCUCGUGGAAACUCGGCGACCGGCGACCUCACCAGACCCCAUCCGGCACCAACCCCGCGCUCCGGGACACCUAUUUAUAGCUCUCGCAACCAAGCAGCCGCUGCAACAUACUAGUACAAUUACUUUGCACUAGCAACACAACGCUCUGACUGAGCUCAUAGCGUUUGCACCUGCCCAUCUUAACUAGUUGAUCACCGCAGCAAUGGCCUCCACAAACAGCUGGACCCACGAGAUCGAGUCGUUGGUCGCGGCACCGCGCUUGUUCCGUGCCGGCGUCAUGGACUGGCACACUCUGGCACCCAAGCUCGCACCCCACAUCGUCGCCAGCGCCCACCCCGUUGAGGGCGAAGGCGGCAUCGGCAGCGUCAGGCAGUUCAACUUCACCUCAGGUACAUACAUAUGCAUGACAUACAAUCCACGCAUGUCACCUCAGUCAGGCGGUGGCAUAACACGCGAUUCUUUUCUCUUGCAGCCAUGCCCUUUACCCUCAUGGAGAGGCUCGAGUUCCUGGACGAGGAGAAGUGCGAGUGCAAGUCGACCCUCAUCGAGGGCGGUGGCAUCGGCACGGCCAUCGAGACUGCAACGUCGCGCAUCAAGGUGGAGCCGGCGGUCAACGGAGGGAGCUUGGUGAAGGUGAACUCGACGUACAAGCUGCUGCCAGGCGUGGAGGUGAAUGACGAAAUAACCAAGGCCAAGGAAUCAGUCACUGCCAUCUUUAAGGCCGCUGAGGCCUACCUCAUCGCCAACCCCGAUGCCUACAACUGAAUCAGAUGAGAGGAAUCAUAUAUGAUUAUGAUGUCCCAAGUUUGAUUUUUGUGUGCUUUCUUCCGGAUCUAAUAAAGCUGCUACAAUCUCUAAGCUAUAGUAGUGACGCCGAGCGCGAGAGCACCGGGCAGAGUGUAGACGUGAGAAGUUUAGAAGUUAAUGUUUGUGACACGAAAGGGGCCUGUUGUUUGAUGAUGUUGUGCUUGCUUAUAUGAAAUACCUAAACACUCUUACUUUCUUAUAUAUUUGGAAUUGGAAGAUUAUGUGUCGACC